rnacentral:rRNA from 1 species
UUAGGAAUCUUCCACAAUGGGCGAAAGCCUGAUGGAGCGACGCCGCUUGAGGGAUGAAGGUUUUCGGAUUGUAAACCUCUGAAACAGGGACGAAAGGCGCAUUAAGCGAGAUGACGGUACCUGUGUAAUAGCACCGGCUAACUCCGUGCCAA